CUAGCGACUUCAGAGUUGAUCCUGGCGUCAGGAUAAACGACUGGCGGCGCACAUAAGACAUGCAAGUCGAAUGAAAGCCGUUUAAAUUAAAUGAUUGGAUGUGAGGACUUGUCCAAGUUGAAAUGAAUUAGUUUAAAACAUAUGACUUUAGUGGCGGACUGGUGAGUAACGCGUGAGCAACCUGCCUGUUAGAGGGGAAUACCAGUGAGAAAUCACUGCUAAUACCGCAUAUGCUAUGAGUAUUGCAUGAUACAAAUAGGAAAGGAGAAAUCCGCUAAUAGAUGGGCUCGCGUCUGAUUAGAUAGUUGGUGAGAUAACAGCCCACCAAGUCAACGAUCAGUAGCCGGACUGAGAGGUUGAACGGCCACAUUGGGACUGAGAUACGGCCCAG
rnacentral:rRNA from 1 species